GACAGAGGUGCCGAGCGUUAGGCGGAAUCACUGGGCUUAAAGCGUGUGUAGGCGGGUCGUUAAGUGCCUUGUGAAAUCCCACGGCUCAACCGUGGAACUGCUGGGCAUACUGCCGAUCUUGAGCCAGCUAGGGGCAACCGGAACAAACGGUGGAGCGGUGAAAUGCGUUGAGAUCGGAGGGAACGCCCGUGGCGAAAGCGAGGUCCUGGACCCUUUCUGACGCUGAGACGCGAAAGCCAGGGGAGCGAACGGG
rnacentral:rRNA from 1 species